UACGUAGGUCCCGAGCGUUGUCCGGAUUUAUUGGGCGUAAAGCGAGCGCAGGUGGUUUAUUAAGUCUGGUGUAAAAGGCAGUGGCUCAACCAUUGUAUGCAUUGGAAACUGGUAGACUUGAGUGCAGGAGAGGAGAGUAGAAUUCCAUGUGUAGCGGUGAAAUGCGUAGAUAUAUGGAGGAACACCGGUGGCGAAAGCGGCUCUCUGGCCUGUAACUGACACUGAGGCUCGAAAGCGUGGGGAGCAAACAGG
rnacentral:rRNA from 1 species